rnacentral:rRNA from 1 species
AGAGUUUGAUCCUGGCUCAGAUUGAACGCUGGCGGCAGGCCUAACACAUGCAGGUCGAGCGGUAGAGAGAAGCUUGCUUCUCUUGAGAGCGGCGGACGGGUGAGUAAUGCCUAGGAAUCUGCCUGGUAGUGGGGGAUAACGUUCGGAAACGGACGCUAAUACCGCAUACGUCCUACGGGAGAAAGCAGGGGACCUUCGGGCCUUGCGCUAUCAGAUGAGCCUAGGUCGGAUUAGCUAGUUGGUGAGGUAAUGGCUCACCAAGGCGACGAUCCGUAACUGGUCUGAGAGGAUGAUCAGUCACACUGGAACUGAGACACGGUCCAGACUCCUACGGGAGGCAGCAGUGGGGAAUAUUGGACAAUGGGCGAAAGCCUGAUCCAGCCAUGCCGCGUGUGUGAAGAAGGUCUUCGGAUUGUAAAGCACUUUAAGUUGGGAGGAAGGGUUGUAGAUUAAUACUCUGCAAUUUUGACGUUACCGACAGAAUAAGCACCGGCUAACUCUGUGCCAGCAGCCGCGGUAAUACAGAGGGUGCAAGCGUUAAUCGGAAUUACUGGGCGUAAAGCGCGCGUAGGUGGUUUGUUAAGUUGGAUGUGAAAUCCCCGGGCUCAACCUGGGAACUGCAUUCAAAACUGACUGACUAGAGUAUGGUAGAGGGUGGUGGAAUUUCCUGUGUAGCGGUGAAAUGCGUAGAUAUAGGAAGGAACACCAGUGGCGAAGGCGACCACCUGGACUAAUACUGACACUGAGGUGCGAAAGCGUGGGGAGCAAACAGGAUUAGAUACCCUGGUAGUCC